rnacentral:sRNA from 1 species
UCUUCUGUUUAUGUACAGAAGAUAGAGAACACAGGGUAAGUGCAAGCUUCCUCAAACUGUCCUGCCAAUGUUCCUCAACCCAACCCUGGAGUGGAUCAUCUCUAGGACUUGGGGGGGGGGG